ACCCUGGGCCACUGAAGUACAGUGUGCGAACUUAACCACUCAGCCACAGGGCUGGCCCCUAUUUUUCACUUCUUUAUGUACUAUAGAAGGCGUAGUUUAUUACAAAAGUGCUAUUAAGUGUAUCACAAUGUAUGUGAAUUUGUAUAUAGGACUUGCACAUUUCAUGAAUUUUAAUAAUAAGCAUAUAUUUCCCUGGCCAGAGCAGGAAUUUUAUUUCAAUGAUAUUACAUGAAUGCAUUAAGCAAUUACUGAACAAGAUAAUAUUACAUAUAAGAGCAUUUUAAAUUGUCAAAUAAUGUGUGUGACAUGGAUAGAUUCAAGGAGUUAUAUUUUGUAGUAUAGCCCAUAAGAACAAGAGAUUAUCUGGUUUGAAGCUCUGGUAUUAUUGGUAUUCUUUGUCGUUUUUCUGGACUGAAAUUCUCGUUAGCACAGUAACAUGAAAUCAUGGAAAUAAAACCAGCUUUAGACAGAACUGAAUUUGUGUCUGUAUCUAUCAUUUAAUAGCUCACUGUGUGACCUUCAUCAAAUUUUUCAUCACAUCACUUAAUCCUUCUAAAAAUCAGUUUCCUUAUUUUUAAGAAUGAAAACUUCCUUGCCUGCUUAUUGUGAGGAUUAUAGUAAAAGUGUAUAAAGAAUAUAUGAUGUUAUAGGAACUUCAUUAAUAGUUAAAAUUGUUAUGAAUAUUAUUUUUCUUAGAAUAUAAGUAUGAUAAACUCUGUGUCCAGAGUUGCCUGCAUUAAAUCAGCUGACAAACAAUAUUUAGCAUGUGACACGUGCUUGACAGUGUUCCCGGAGGAAAUCAAGGGUGCAACAAGGUAAACAGGGCAGUAACCCUCAUUCUUGCUUUGUAAGGCACCUUAGGUUCCUAAGAGAGUUCAGUGUGCCCCGUCUGCCCUAAAUGUCCAGGGAAUUCCUAAAGGAAAUGGUUGAAACAUAGACAAUAGCAUAGUAGAAAGAAAAUGAGUUAGUAAUAAUACCACCACUGGAACUUUAACUCUUAUGGAUUCUGUUUCCUUAUCUAUGAAAUGGGGAUAGUAGUCCAUGCCACGUAUAUCUCACAGGGUUAAAUACUGCAGGACUCUACCCAAACAUAAGUGACAACAGGAUUUUUUUCUGGCAGUUCACUGACACUAUGCUGAACCAAGUAUUCCAUUUCUAGUUAAUAUGAUCCAAUCAAGAAUAUGUUAAGUAUCCAGAUACCUACCACUGUGUUUUGUGUCUUGGAGAAUAUACAAAGUAUAAAGACUUGGUCUCUUUCUACAUUAGUUUUUUUACUGCUUCAUAACAAAUUACCAUAGUUAGCUGCUUAAAGGAGCACACAUUUAGUAGCUCACAUUUUCCAUGGAUCUGGCACAUCCUCGGCUCAGGGUCUUAUGAGUCUGAAAUCAAGGUGUCAGUUUAUGUGCACCUUCAUGUGGUGGUUUAACUAGGAAAAGAUCCACUUCCAUGCUCUUUCAAAUUGUUGGCAGAAUUCAUUUCCUUGUAGUUGUGGAACCGAGGUCUCUAUUUUCCUGCUGGCUCUCCAGGGUGGGUCUGUGGGGCUCCAAGAGGCUGCCUUGUAUUGCUGCCCCAUGGCACCCUCCAUGGGCAGUUCACCACAUGGCUGUUGGCUUUCUUUAGGACAGCGGGAAAAUGUCUCUCUAACGUUAUACCUUCUAUAAAAGAGAUCAACUCAUUAGGUCAGGCCGACGCCAAAAGAAAUUAAUCUCCCUUUUGAUGACCUCAAAAUCAAUUGAUUAGUAACUUAAUCAUGGGAGUGAUCUCCCAUUCUAUUCUCUGACCCUGUUCACACCCAAGCGGAGGAGGAGACAGAGCCUGUACACCAGAGGACAGGAACCUUGGGGGCCAUGUUAGGAUUCUCGUUAAAUUGCCCAUGUCUUGGUCCUUUAUUUUGAUGACUGGAUUUUUAAAGAGUAUGCCAGAAGAGCCCUAAUUUCUGACUGCAUAAUUCUCCCAUGUUGAGAUUAUAUAAAAAAUAUAUACUACUCACCUUUCUUUGUGACAUGAGAAUAUAAAUAAGCAGUUCUAAGCAGUUCUGUAAUACCAGUGAGCUUGCUCUGCUUAGCUAACCCCUGAUUGGCCUAAAAUGACAUGACUUAAUUUAAAUUAUGUCUCAUUGAUUGCUAAUGAGGAUAAAGAUUUUUCUAACAUGUUAUUUACCAUUUGUCUUAUUGUGAUUCUGUAAUGCAGAAACCACUUGUCUGCCUCUUACUCAGUCCUUUCUACUCCUGCUGCUCAAAUAUUUGUGGAAUAAAUAAAAUGAUAAUUUGGUGAAUUAAGUUCCUGCUCAGCAUGCGUUUUUUUAAUUUGGCAAAAAGAAGCAGUUUGAUAGGAUGUUUGGGUUUAGGAUUCAGAGGAUCUUAUUUCCAUUCCCAGCUUGGUUGCUGCCUCACUCUGUGCCUCAAGAGAACCUAUUGCAUUUCUGGGACCCAGUUUACGUUGUGUAAAAUGAGGCACCAACAUUUUAUACACUUUUUGGUAUUACUUACAUACAUUUGAGAUUUGAGAAAGAAACCGUUAUUCGCUGUUUACAUUUCAGGUCUUUGCUUUCAUUCCCCCAAGUGUGUGUCAUUUCAGAUGCCGUAUUUUAAGAAAUUCUAGCCCUUCCUCUCUGUCUCUUGUUUGGCGUUACAGUUGAAAAGCAGUACUCAGUUUACUCAGUGCUGACCGCGUAUCAGGCACUAUGUUAAGUACUUACCUGUGGCAAUUAGUUUAAUCCUGAUAAAUGGAAGGGUAGAUGCUCUCGUCCAAAUUUAAAAUUUAGGGAGUUUGAAAAUUUGAAGCUCAUGGAGGUUACAUGACAUCUCCAUGAAAUGCAGUUAUUAAAAGUCAGAACUGGGGAUUUGAAUCCAAUUCUUGUUCUGUCAUUUUCUUUCCUUUGUCUCUACUGUAAUUUUGUCUUGAUGUAUGUUGUCUCUAUUAUGGCUAUUAAAUGAUUUAAAAAUUGAUGUGAAAUGUGAAUCUGACUGUAGUAUACCCGACCCCUACUUCUGAUAUUCGUAUUGACUAGGAGUGGCAGACUUCAAGGCCCUUAAGGACAAGAACCUACAUCUCAAUUGCUAACUUUCCCACUGAUGAUUUUAACACCAGAAAGAAAAACAGUACUGAUAUUUAGUAUAUAUUCCACAUAUUAAUACUGAAAUGUCAUCAAAAAGUCUUUUGUGAAUAUAUAAAAUUUUUAAAAAAAGAAUUAAACGAAGUAGAUGGUACAUUUCAAACAGAAGAGCUAUAAACCUUACCAAAUACCAAUUAAAAUGUAAAAUUAUAAAAGAUAAAUGUGCGAUAUACAUUAUUAUUUUAUUAUAGUUUAGUAGCAGGUAGAAUAAAUUGUCACUCAUUAAUGAGUUAAAGUCUAUUAAAAUGAAGAAAUUUUGACCAUGGAAAACUUAAAUAUUAUUUCAUCAUUUCUUCAAAAAUUCAACCUUAAAUACAAAGUCCAUCAUGACGAUGUCAUUGCAGAAUCACAAGUGCCUUUUUGUGUGAAGUUUUCCAGCUGCUGGAAAAACUUUUUAUAACUCUAAACAAGUUUAGAGAAUGGUGAAAAGAUAGUUACAAGCUGACUCUUAGUAUUUUCCUCAUCUGUGAUUCUUUAGAAAAUAAGCCCAACUCCUGUUUGAGGUGAUCUUUAGGUUCUUUUUUGGGGGGGAAGUAGGUGCUGUGGAUAGAACUACAAUAGUUUUUAUAACAAGCUGAGGCUAUAGCAAUGUAGUUUUCUAAUUAAAAAAUGCAUUUCUGAUCACCUUAAUAUUCUUUUGUUUCCUCUAGUAUUUUUAGAGAUUCUGUUAUAUUUUAUUUUAGCUUCUCAUGUUCCUAUUCAGCUUGUGUAGCAAAUUAUUAAAUCAAAUAAAAGGUUAUUCUUAAUAUAGAAGCAUUGCUUUCUGAAUUGGCAUUUUCUUCCUCUCUUUGGAGACUAUGGAAGUAGAAAGGAUGCUUUUGAAACAUCCUUUGUUAGAUUCAAAAUUGUAAUGUGGCAUGUAAAUGUCUGAGUGUGUCUGUAGAUACAGUGUUUCAUAUUUGAUAUAUAUUAAUAUACCAAAACAAUAUUAUUAUACUAACAAAAAUAGUAUUAUUUCACUAUGUAAAAAUAGUACACAAUACCAAAUACUGUAAAGUAGUAUUGUAAUCACUAUUCCCUCAGACCCUAGCAUGGUCUCAGGGAGUAAGUGUACACACGCGCGUGCUUGCACACACACACACACACGUGUGUGUGUGUAUGUAUACAUUGUAGGAUAAACAUUGUAGGAUACAAUGUAUACAUACACACACACAUCUAUAAUCCUUUCCUUCAGUUAAAAAUAAAGAAUUGUACUUGAACCAGGAUAUGUACUACAUUAGGUUGAUGUAAAAAGGAAGAAAACACAAUCCCCAGACUUGAGGAACUUCUAGUCUAAUGAAACUCAGACUUCAUUAUUCUUAUGAGUAUGCUUUUUGUGAGGGAAUUAAAAAUCUUUGAUAAGUGAGAAAAAGAAAGUUACUACUAUCUCUUCCUAUAUAUGCCAUUGUUCUUUUACUGGAAAGAACUAGAAUUAUGAGAACAGAUUUUAUUUCAUUUAAAGCUGCAGAUGUUAUUAACAAAUAUAAGCACACUUCACUCUAUGUGAUAGAUUAAUCUCUGAAAAAUCACUUAUAAUUUAAAAACUUUUAUAAGUGCUAGUGAAGAUGAGCUAACCAAAGAAUCUUUUUAGAAGCAAGGAAUCGGCCUGUAAUAUCUGUAGUAAGUAAUUGGUCUUUACAUAUACCAGGUUGUCUCAGAGUAUACCCUUAUCACAUUCUCCCAAAGCAGAUUCAAGCUAAUCUCCUGACAAUUUUGUUGAAUAGUUCUCAAUGUUGGAAUUAAAUUUGCAUGUCUGUGGCUCCAGUUAUGAGUCCUUUUUCAUAGUUUUAUCCUACACUGAGUUUUCAUUUAUGUCUCCAACCAGUCUUUAUAUAUCUUUAGAAAUAUGGUUUAUAGUUUCUUCAGUGCUUCGUUGCUGUCGGACGUACUAGUGCUUUUGAUUAAUUGCACUAAAGGUGAUAUAAAGAUUCUAUUACUACUUUCCAAGUGUCAACACUUUCAUACCUUAAAAUGUGUGUUUUUCUUAUCCCUAAGAAAUUAAAUGACCUGCCACAGUUAUGACAUCCUUUAGCCAUAAAGAGAGUAUUACAAGUAAUAAAUAAUAUGACCAUCAUCUACUAAUAAGAAUGGUGGAAGCUCAGGGGAAAUAACUCUAUUUAUGAACCCCGGGACUUGUCAUUUUCGCUUUUCCUCCCCCAUUGACACUAUGCUAGUACAGCACACCAUUGUCUUCUGCCUGCACUGCAGCAGUUCUUAACUGGUCUCUCUUUAACUGCCCUUGUCCUAGUCUAAUCACAUCAACACGGAGCACUGAUAUAUUGUUUUUAAUGCAAAUAUGAUCAUAGCAAUGGCUUUCUUCUCCUAAAAUCAUCAAAGGCAUCUUUUAUAAAGUUCAUUUUCAGCAAUAUCAUGGAUUAUAAGUCCCACGUGAUUUAGCUUUGACUAUCUCACUGGCUCAGCUAGUGCUCCUUUCUAUCUCCCCACAUUCUGUCCACAAUGGCCUUUUAAAUCUACUCUAUGUUUUCUGCUUCAGGAAUUCCACAUGCUGUUGCUUCUACCUAGAGGUUGUCCACGCCUCCAUUUCAUAGCUCAGCUCAGAUUUCACUACUUCAACCUUCCCAAGUCUAGAUCAUUGCCCUGUUAUAUGCCUUUUUACUAUCCUAUAAUUCUGCUUCCUACCACUUCUCAUAAUUUUGUUAAAUAACUAAUAGCGUAGGUAGUAGUUUGAUGUCAGUCUCCUUGAUGAGAAUCCAGGGACAAUGGUCGUCUUGAUCACUGCUAUACCCAUAGUACCCAAUUAGGUUCUCAGUCACUGUUUGGUGGAUGAAUGAAUGAAUACAUGUUUCAAGAAUAACUCAUCAGUAUCCAACAAGCCUUUUGUAUUAUAGUGUUUCAUACCCUGCAUCUAUUGUGGAUAAUUUAGAUAGAGUCUAGAUUUUCUUUUUAUUCGUUCAUCAAACAAUGAUACUGUAUCUCUUUUGCUCCGGCAUUGUAUUAGGUCUAGAAUUCAAAGAUAAAUAAAACGAAUCCCUGUUUUUUAUUUAGAUGAUACUUUCCACUUGGGGGUUUGGGCAAGUUUUUAGGGACUCACUGUGUCAUUCUGGUAUAUUAGUGAUUAUAAAUCUCAUGCUACAGGGGAAAGCAUUGAGAAUUAUUGGGAUUGCCCUGAUCUAUAUUCACGGGCUGUAUUCUUCCUAAAUCAGAUUAGCUAUCAAAGUAUUCUUGUUAAAAAUAUAAAUGUCCCAGUCCCUUCCCCCUGACUCAUAGUCUGCAGGAAGGGGCCUAUGUUGAUGUAGUUUUUUAGCAAGUACCACCAGGUUAUUCUUAUCAAUGAUUUUAAAACAUUUUUAAAAACAUUUAAGAAUAUUUGGAUUGGCAUAAUAUUAAAGAUUAUAUCAUAAAAUUUAUUUUAAUACAUCUUAGUAAUACUUAUACAGAAAAUGUUCAAUUUUUCUACUUACAGCUUUGUUUAAUUUACUGUGAAUGACUUGUAUGAGAAAGGGCAUGAUUUGUGAAGGAAAAAUUCAAAGAUCGCAUAUGGAGUUUGGUUUAGGAACUAAAAUAUGUUAAAAUAUAGGUAGAAUUUUAGUAGGUCUUCUAACAUCAAAGAUAGGUCAAAAAUACUUUCAAUUAUUCUUCUGUUUUCCACUGAAACAACAUACCAUUUACUUUAUAUGUGUCCUGUUUUGCUUCUAAAUGAUGCGAUAGGGGAGAUGGCUUUCUGAUGCUGUUUACAAAAUCUCUCUGAAGAAUAAUACCUUUAGAUUGAGUGCAGACUUUGCCAUGGUAUAUAAAAAGAAUAACAGAUAUAAUUCUAACUAAAUAUAUGUAUUUAAACGUUGAUGUUUGAUGUGUUAGAGAAGCCUUGGAAUGCUGCUGUCUUGGGAAUUUUCAGAGUUACUGUAUUAUGCUUUUGAUUAACUUGUAAAAAUUCUAUGACUGUUUUUUUCAUGUUUCCUGCCCAUAAGUAGUAGUCAUUUGUGGGAUAAAUUUUUAAAUCAAAUUAAAUUUUAAAAUAUGUGACUAAUAUAAACAAUUAAAAUCAAUAUAAUUCUCAAAACCCUCAUGGCAUCCAGGAGUAUUCAGGUGAAGGAAAAAGGAAGACUUGAACAUACUCUUCCGAUCUCCACUAUUUUCUAUAUAUAAACACCUGAGAUGCACUUGAAGUUUUCGGUCUAAAUGUUAAAUAACAUUUUAUUUUUGAUUAAAAGUAGAAGUGGAAAUAGACUUUAUUAAAGUCUUUUCGUGGAAGGCACUCUGUGGAGCAGCCUCAUAAUCUUCUGAAGGUUCACAGACUUCCAUUUAGGCAAUGUGGCUGUGAAGAACUUAAACACCAUCUAGUUCCACCUUUGGAGUAUUUGUCUUCAGGUUCAGGGAAGAGGUUGGCACAACGUCCGUCUAUGGCAGAUCCUUCCCUGUUUUAAAACAUCUUCAUGCCUUCUUCCUUGUCUUAAAACAGGCAUCACAGAAAUAAAAAUCCAACCUCGCCAUGAUGUCAACAGUAACAUCACUUGGCUUUUGAAGUGAAUUUCUGGAAGAGGAAUUGCCAUGAUGGUUGGUGACUGAUGGAAUCCAGGAUGAUUCCAUUUCUAAGGACUAAUCACUGCAACACUUUUCAACAUCUGCUCCCUGACAUCACCUCAAUAUGUCCCUCAUCCUCACAAGCUCUCAUUGGUCAUAAGGCCCUAGAAAGUUGAAAAGUAAGCACUCUUCCGUGAAAUGCCUGGGGACUCUUUAUAAGUAUUACUUAGGAUUACUUGUGUCUGGAAACCACUUCUGAAUGGGGAGGAGUAAAGGGAGUCCCUCUAAUUCCAAACCCAAGCAUUUAUAGCAUAACAAGUAUUAUCUGCCAAUCCUCAGAGAACCCAUAGCCUUCAUAAACUCAUUUAUUGAAGAAGCCUCGACUGUACUAGGAAUUUAGGCCAGAAGAACAGUUUGGGGGGAAUGUUUUUGCCUGCCCCUAUUGAUUAGUUUUUACUUGCAAAAUAUUGUUCAGUGAGGACAUAUUCAGAUACCCUGAUGUCCAUCAGGUAAAACGACUUUGAGUUAAGGCUAACUCAUUGUACUUUAGGAGUUUUCUUUUUCUUUUUCAUUUUUAGUAUUCACAAGACCUUCAAAUUAAUCAAUUUUCACCUUUCAGGCAGAACAUGCUUAAACUUUGAGUUGUAAUAUAAACAUGAUUAUUUUUUCCUUUUGAGAAAUGUUGUUAGCUAUUGCCAUGGUUUAAUCAAAAAUCUAUUGUUAUUGGAAUUGUCUUCGAUUAUUCUCCUGUGACAAUGAAAAUCCAAUACCCUCUCGUUCCUUUUAGCCCCUUGCCUUGCAAGCAUUUAUCAAGAGUAGAAUGGAUUUUUGAUGACUGUGGAGUUUAGGGAAUAACAUCUUAGAAUGGAGAAAUUAAUGAGUAUGAAACAAAGAGAAGCACUCCUUAUGAAGGACAGUGAUAAUGAAGCUGUAAACAUUUCUCAAGCUUGUUUGGCAUAUGUUGUUUGGAUUGGUAUUUAGAUUAUGUAAACACAGAUUCUUGAGUGACAAAGAAUUUUUUUAGUUGAUGAAUGAAAAAUGUGAAUUUUGUAGAAUAAAUUACUAUAUGUACUUGGAAUCUCAAAGAGACAUCCCUAAAAUAAUGUAAAAGGUAAUAGUUCAGAACAGUACUGUCAAAUAGAAAUAUAAUGUGAGCUACACAAAUAAUUUAAAAUUUCUAGUAGGCACAUUAAAAAGUCCGUAAAACAAAACAGAUGACAUUUAUUUUAAUAAUAUAUUUUGACAUAAUAUACCCCAAAUAUUAUUUUUGAACAUAGAAUUAAUAUAAAAAUAUUAGCGAGAUUAUUUAUGUUACUUUUUCAGAAUAAAUUAUCAAAAUCUGGUGCGUAUUUUUGAAGGGAAAAACUCUGUUUCUCCUCUACUCACCAUACUUCUGACACUAGGUGUGUGUGGGUUUUUCCCACACCAAGCAAUUCUCCAAUUUUCAUCUGACAUCAGCUGAAUGUCCUACAAAUUUAACUGAAUUCUGACACCAUCUACCUGGAAAUAGUGUCCGAUCUCACAGGUUAAGGACUCAGUUCCACAAGCCUGUCCCCACUUCAGAUGCCAAUUGCAAGACAGAUUGUCACCAGUACUUCUAACCAGCCAGCCAUAAGUUGGAGUUUCCCACAGUCCCCUCCACAGGUUCGAUAAUUUGCUGGAAAGGCUCACAGAACUCAGGGAAACAUUUACUUAUGUUUACUGAUUUAGUGUAAAAGGUUGCAACUCAGGAAGAGCCAGAUGGAAGAGAUGCAUAGGGCAGGGUAUGGGGAAAGAGAUGUGAAACUUCCAUGGCCUCUCUGGGCAUACCACUCUGCCAGCACCUUCACAUGUUCACCAAGUAGGAAGCUCAUCAAAUCUCAAGAGUUUUUAUAGAGCUUAAUCUUCAGCGCCUCCACCCCUUCUCCUUCCUAGGAGUCGGCAGGUGGUGCUGAAAGUUCCAACCCUCUCAUCACUUGGUCUUUCUGGUGACCAGCCCCCAUCCUGAGGCUGUCUAGAGGCGCCACUCUGAGUUACCUCAUUAGUAUAAACUCCACUGUGCUCAAAAGGAGUUUGUUAUGAAUAACAAAAGACACUCCUAUCACUCAGGAUUUCCCAAGUGUUGUAGGAGCUCAGUGCCAGGAACUGGGGACAAAGCCCAAAUAUAUUUCUUCUUAUAUCACAAUAUUACAUUUAUAGCACAUCUCACUUCCAAUCAGCCAUGUUUCAAGUGGCUAAUGGCACCUGCCUCUAGUGGCUAUUGUGUAGGACAGGGCAGGGAUAGAAAAAGCACUGGAUAUACUCUCUGUGAGAUGAGGCAGCCCACUUAAUUUUUCAUUGCCUCAGUAUCUUCGUUUGUCAGAUAAAUCGGUUAGAUGAAUCGUUUAUGCUGUUAUUUUCAAUAUUAUAUUCUGUUACUCUAGAAAGUUAUGUUAUACAACUUAAGAAAAGACUGUGUAAUAUAUUGUUGAAAAGGUUUGUAUAGCAAGAAGUAAUGUAAUAGGAUGUGGCCUCUUCAGUGAGGUGCAUUGUAUCAUUAGAAUAAAAUAUCACAGUACUCUGUGCAUCAUUAUAAAAUGCCUUUAAUUUGUGAGGAGGAUUCAAUCACCAUUAUACCUUCAAGUCAGAAUGAAGCAUGAUUUUGCCUCUAGGUGAUUAAAGAAUUUUAUUGUUACACAUACUUACUUCUUUAGCCUUUUUAUUUUUUAAGGGCAUUGUUUAAUGACCAAGUGCUUUAUUUGAUGUUACGUCAAUUUGCUCAGAUAAUUAAAUCCUCAGCAAUCAGGUAGUGCAUAUUUUUCAGAAAUUAGAGACUCUGUGGAUGACCUCACAGGACAGAUAUUUUUUCUGACUACAUAAAAAGUUUAAAAUUAUAAUAUAUAAUUUGUUCUUACUGAAUUCUGUUGAAGAAAGUAAUUUGAAAAGUCAAUAAAUAAAGUUGGCCCAAAUUGGAUGAAACUUGCAAAAGAUGUUGCUUAUUAAAAAAAUAAUUUAAUUGUACUCAAAUCUUUCCUUAGGGGAAGGAAAAACUCUGUUGUCUUUGAAUAUCCCUAGAAAUGAAGUUUAAUUUCUACUAUUUUCCGCAUUUCUCAUUUGUAUAUUAAUGUUUUUUUUAAAAUUGAGGAGACAUUUGUAACUACCUAAUGAUGAAAAUUGCGCAGGUGACCUUUUAAUUCUAUGUCUGCUGCUGGGUUCCCUGACUACACGUCUCAUUCUACAGACUCUUGAAGCAAUUUAGGACUUGAUCUGUGCCAAGAACUGUGUUAGGCACUUGAGAUUAAAAAGUGAGUAACACAAAGUCUCUUAAGAAACAGAGAGAUGGCAGAGACAGACAUGGAUGUAGCUUAGCACCAUGUGACAGUUGCUCUGGGGGUUUGGAAAGGAGGCCUGUGUGACUGAUGAUGAAGGGGUACUGAGGAAGGAAUAUUUCAGAGAAGAGGAAUACUUUGUACUACAUGGAGUUGGCCAGUGGAAUGCUGGAUCUGAAGGAAAGAGAGAAUGUCACGUGACAUGGCAUAGAGGAUGUCUGGGGAAUGCCAAAACUCAUUGCAGCACGUUGUGUGCUAGGCUGGGGGUACAUUAGCACCGUUACAGGAGCAGAAUCCCUCUCUGCAUCAAUCAUAGUGCCUGACACAGUGGAGGCCCUCAAAUAUGUAUAUUACAAAUAUAUAUACAUACGUAUGUAUAUAAAAUAAACAUGAAAGACUCCCCCUUAAUAUGUAAUUAAAUUUUACCUUAAUAUAUUCUUGGAGAGUAAGAAUGAACAAUAAUGGGUUUUGCUACUUUGUUUCACUAUGAAAAGAGCAUUAGAAUUACAUGUGUCAUUCAAUAUUUAUUCAACAAAUGUUUAUUGGGCACCUAGUAUAUGCCAGAAACUGAUGUAGGCAUGGGGAUACAGCAGGCAACAAAAUGGAAAAUCUGGUUUUCUCAUAGAGCCUAUGUACCAUUCCAUGCACUACAGGAAUUAUUGGAGUGAUUGCCAUUCAUGAAACUGGAUUGCACGUGAGACACCAUAUAUGGCCAAGCAGAUGAUAACAAAUGAGAAACAAAAAAACUGUCAUUCAUUCACAAACUCAUUAAACAAAUAUUUACUGAACUUUAGUUAUGUACCAGGCAUUAUGCCUAAGGCCUUGAAAACUAGAAAAAGGAGUGAAGAGAAGGGAGGUUGAGAACAUACAGACUUUGGAGUUUAUUUGGUUGAAGUAACUUCUAGAAAUAUCCUAUCAUAUCAAAAUUGAUCUCUGUAGGCAUUGUUUCCUUUUUCUGCCAUUUAGUUUUCGUCACUAUUUAUGUGCAGAUCUGCAAGCAGUUUGGAAGAGUGUUAAAAAUAAUAAUACUAUGACUACUUUGCAGCUGUUGAAAUUACAGUGAAACAUUGAAAGGCUAUGAUCAUUUACUUGACAAAAGAGUGUAUUAUUGUUCAACUAGAACUACUGUGCUCUGUCCUAAGAGAAAGAUUAGAAUAAUAAAUAUAAAUAGAGCCGACUAUAGUGUAAGCAUAAUGAGCUUAAUGCUGUUCUAUGCCUAAAGUAAAAAUCCUACUGAUUUUAAUUGCUUUCUGAAAACUUUAUUGUAUUUUUAAUCUACCCCAAAAAUAAAGGGCAUGAAAGUCUUGGGGACAUGUCAGUUUACCUCCAAUAAUAAAGGUGUUGAUAGUUUAAGCCCUGGACCUAUUUCCUUGGAAUGGGAUAAUUAGCACACACAGAACAAAAUGCAUUUUAGCAAAAUUAUUUGCUUAUUUGCAUCAUAUCAGGAGCACAUAUUUCAGAAUUGAAGUCAGCUGAGAUUAAAGGAAAUACAUAUGUUAAUAGAGUUGAUAGAAAUACUUUAUGUGGAGUUUAGAUCUAUGAAAAAAUUCUUCCGGCAUUCCUCGAAUCUUUUUCCCACAUUGUCAGCAUUGCAGAUUCUGAUAUAACUCUUCAAAUAAACGCAUCUACAUUCACUUUAAAUUGACGGUCUGUGGAUUUAUAAAGAGCAUCUUGGCAUCAGAUUUAUGUCUGUAGUAUAAUAUAUUUGCCAAAGAAAACAAUAAUCCUCAUAGGUAUUGUUAUUCUUAUUUUAUAUAGCAAGCUGCCAAAUUAUAUUCCUACCACCGUUCAAUGAGAAGGUAUUAUCCAGUUGGAGUAGGAUCACAAUGAUCGUUGGACACUUGCUGUGGUAAGAAAUCUUGACCUGUGUGUCCUUUGAAUAGGAGGCCACUAUGAGGUGGUAUCUGGGGUGUAAAGAAGGGCCCUCUGGCUCAUGAAUAUCUCUGAUGGUCGUGCCUUUAGAGUCCUCUCAGAGUUGCCUCUUUAGGUCACAGUUUGCAUUUGUCCACUGUUAGAGGAAGUGAGCAGUGCUGGUUUUGCUAGAGGCAGGGGGUUCUGUAUUGGCUUGUAGCCUGGAACCUUAGAGAACCAGGCCUAGAUGGUAUGGGAUGUAGGCAGAUGGAGGAGCAAAAAGCUUCUAGGUGUGGUCAAUGUUUUGUGAUCUUGAAAGCAAUAUCACACUUAUUAUCAUAUUAACGAGUGAUAGUUUAUUUGACUUUACUAUGAGAUAACACUCUUCUGAGGACUAUGAUACAUUUUCUCAUUUAAUCCUCACAGUGACCCUUCGUGAUAGGCCACUCAUUUUAUGAAUGAGGAAAGGAAGGCACAGAAAGUAAAAAGUGGAAGUAUUAAUGAUGUAUUUAACAGGGCUUUCAUUCACUGAGCACUUAACAUGUGCAAGCACAUAACUUAAAUCAUUUAACCUAUGGAUUUAAGCUUUAGGAGGUGGGUAUUACUGCUAUACUCAUUUACAAAUGAGGAAAUUGAUUUAUUGAGAAGUUAAAGAAUAUGCCCAAGAUCCCACAGCUAGUAAAUGCCAGAGCUAGGGUGUAAACCCAGAUGAUACCGCCUUCUUUUCCUUUAGAGGAAUAAGGACUAAUUUUCCUAUUUCCUAAGCAUCUUACCUGCCUGGACCCUAUACUGGACAUUAUGGAAAAUGGAUUAAAAACAGAAGCCACUUGAGUAACUUAUUGUCUAAUUAGAGACAGGACAAAAAUAUUAAAAGAUGAGGAGAUAAGACAGCAGAAUAAGUGAGAGAGCUUGAGCCUGGAGAAACAGUGUGGUCCCCAGGAAAACACACUUGGGCCUUAAAUUCUGAUAGGCCUGAGUUUGCUUUCCAAUGUCAGUACCUCCUAGCUGUGCCCUCAUGGGAAAGUUAUUUAGUCUCGUUGAACUUCUGUUUCCCCAACUAUAUAAUGGGGCCCCCAAGAAAAUGCAGCUAAAUGAGUAUCAAGAGCUUCCAUUUAUUAAGGGCUUCAUGUGUACCAGCCAUUGACUUUAAGAACUGGACAUAAUUUAUCUCAUUUAAUCCUUUAAACAGCCUUUCGGGGUGUAAGUAUCAUCAGUGCCAUUUCACAGAUGAGAAACUGAGUCAUGGAGAAGUUGACUUAACCACAUCCCUGGGGAAGCAGUGGAACUAGGGUUUAAAUCUGUGUGAUGUGAUAGAGAUCAUUGCUCUUGAUCAUUUGAUGACCACUUUUCCAAAGUAAAAUUUCUGAGACUGGAUCUAACUUGUGAGUGAUAUGAUGAACCCAUAUCCCUUAGUUGUGUCUUUGAUUAGAUACUUUUGUUUGGAAAUGCAUUAAAAAAUACUUCAAGGAAGAAAAGUUAGUGUAUAAACAAUUAAAUCUCUUUACUCCUUUUAUACUCUCCAUUAUUGAUUUAACCUUCUGCUCUCACUUUUCCAGAAAAGCAUUGAAUAAUCAUAGAUGUUUCAGAGACAUUCUUAUAGAGACUGUUAGCUUGCCCCAUCCUCUCAUAUUACUGAGGGAGGAAUUGAGGGUGAGAGAGGGGAAGUCUUACCCAAGACCAAUUUGUAAUGCCAGAACGAGGAUGAAUACUCAGGUUUCUAGUGCUUUUUUUGUCAGUACCAGACAAUCUGCUUUAGUUAAGACCUUGUAGGGGAAAAAGGCCUUGGUGAAGAAUAAUAUAUUUCUUAAAAUAGACAGUUUAAUCAUGCUACAAAUUUAGGGCUAUAUCUCAUGGAAUUUUCUAAGAUAACUAAUUGAAGAGAAGUAAAUUCCACUCAAUUAAGUCAGCAUUCUCAAACAC